AUGCAGUCAGACUAUGAGAGCGACCCCCCACUGGAUGAUGAGAAAUCUCUUGAGAAAGUCUCCACGCUGAAUGGUGCUGUCUCUCAGCUUGCAAGUGAUUUCGAUAGAGAUUCUAAUCUAUGCUUGGAGCGCUUCUCCCGGACGAGGCGUGCAUCCGUCAUUUCGACUGGUUCGCUUAAGCUUGACCUUGCUCUUGGCAUUGGAGGUUUACCAAAGGGUAGAAUGGUUGAAAUAUUCGGGAAAGAGUCAUCUGGGAAGACAACACUUGCACUUCAUGUUAUCAAGGAAGCCCAAAAGAAUGGAGGCUACUGUGCUUAUAUUGAUGCAGAAAAUGCUUUCAACACCUCAUUUGCAGAAGAAAUUGGCGUGGACAUAGACAAACUCCUAAUAGCUCAACCUGAUUCUGCUGAAAAUUCAUUAAGCAUAGUGAACACUCUUGUUGGUGGAUCCAUUGAUGUUGUUGUUGUGGAUAGUGUGGCAGCACUGAUUCCCAAAUGUGAACUUGAAGGUGAAAUAUAUAUGAAAUUUAAAGAUGCACAAUCCCGUUUAAUGACUCGGGCACUUCGAAAAGUUCAAUACACAUUAAGUCGCUCUGAAACACUUAUUAUUUUUGUGAAUCAGGAGGUAACCUGUGGUGGCAAUGCAUUAGGGUUCUAUUCAGCAAUCAGAAUGAGGACUUCGAGAAGGAAAUUGCACUAUAGCGAAGACGAGUACCGGUUGGUAACGCCAACCGGUACUAAAUGUUUGGGGUUGUUUUGGUAUUAUUUUUUAUUUUUCCUUUAA
rnacentral:rRNA from 1 species